rnacentral:rRNA from 1 species
AUUGAACGCUGGCGGCAGGCUUAACACAUGCAAGUCGAACGAGUGGCGGACGGGUGAGUAAUGCUUGGGAAUCUAGCUUAUGGAGGGGGAUAACUACGGGAAACUGUAGCUAAUACCGCGUACCAUAGGAUGAGCCCAAGUGGGAUUAGGUAGUUGGUGAGGUAAAGGCUUACCAAGCCGAUGAUCCAUAGCUGGUCUGCGAGGAUGACCAGCCACACGGGAACGGAGACACGGUCCAGACUCCUACGGGAGGCAGCAGUGGGGAAUAUUGCACAAUGGGCGCAAGCCUGAUAGAGCCAUGCCGCGUGUAUGAAGAAGGCCUUCGGGUUGUAAAGUACUUUCAGCGGGGAGGCGUUACUCGCAGAAGAAGCACCGGCUAACUCCGUGCCAGCAGCCGCGGUAAUAC